rnacentral:lncRNA from 1 species
AUAGAUUAAGGACAGCGUUCAAGAAGUUAUAUUUUUCUCUUAAAGAUGUUAUAGGAUUUUGUUGUCACAAGAGAUUAUUGGCCAAACUUUUUUAAGAUGGUUUAGAAGUAAAUAAUAUAAUUUAGUCCAUCGAACAGUUAAUAAAAUUUUAUUCUUUAUACAGUUGGAAGUUGAUAUUUUUCCUAAAUCAAAUUCUUUAAGUUUAAUUUUUUGAGACGAUUUGCUCUUAGAUCUUAAGGAUGGUUGAUUCGAUU